AGGGGGCCCAGCACACAGCUUCUACUCUUCUCUUCUCCUCUCUUCCAAUUACUCUCGCGAGAGUAUGGCAACGCUCAGAAGGCCGCAGGUCUCGCGAGAGUUAUUAGAAGAGGCGAAGAGAAGAGUAGAAGCUGUGUGCUGGGCCCCCU